ACAUGCAAGUCGAGCGGCAAGUCGAGUAGUAAUACUUGACCUAGAGCGGCGCACGGGUGCGUAACGCGUAUGCAACCUACCUUUUACUGGGGGAUAGCCCGGAGAAAUCUGGAUUAAUACCCCAUGGUACCUAAAUGUCGAAUGACAUUUAGUUUAAAGAUUUAUCGGUAAGAGAUGGGCAUGCGUCUGAUUAGCUAGUUGGCGGGGUAACGGCCCACCAAGGUGACGAUCAGUAGGGGUUCUGAGAGGAAGGUCCCCCACACUGGCACUGAGAUACGGGCCAGACUCCUACGGGAGGCAGCAGUAGGGAAUAUUGGGCAAUGGUCGCAAGACUGACCCAGCCAUGCCGCGUGCAGGAAGACGGCCCUCUGGGUUGUAAACUGCUUUUAUCUGGGAAGAAAAAGUCCAUGCGUGGAAAAUUGCCGGUACCAGAUGAAUAAGCACCGGCUAACUCCGUGCCAGCAGCCGCGGUAAUACGGAGGGUGCAAGCGUUGUCCGGAUUUAUUGGGUUUAAAGGGUGCGUAGGCGGCUGAAUAAGUCAGCGGUGAAAGACUUCGGCUUAACCGGAGCAGUGCCGUUGAUACUGUUUAGCUUGAGUGUUGGAGGGGUACAUGGAAUUGAUGGUGUAGCGGUGAAAUGCAUAGAUACCAUCAGGAACACCGAUAGCGAAGGCAUUGUACUGGCCAACAACUGACGCUGAGGCACGAAAGUGUGGGGAUCGAACAGGAUUAGAUACCCUGGUAGUCCACACUGUAAACGAUGAUUACUCGCUGUUAUGGUGUAUACUGUAGCGGCCAAGCGAAAGCGU
rnacentral:rRNA from 1 species